GAUGAACGCUGGCGGCGUGCCUAAUACAUGCAAGUCGAGCGAAUGGAUUAAGAGCUUGCUCUUAUGAAGUUAGCGGCGGACGGGUGAGUAACACGUGGGUAACCUGCCCAUAAGACUGGGAUAACUCCGGGACACCGGGGCUAAUACCGGAUACCAUUUUGAACCGCAUGGUUCGAAAUUGAAAGGCGGCUUCGGCUGUCACUUAUGCAUGGACCCGCGUCGCAUUAGCUAGUUGGUGAGGUAACGGCUCACCAAGGCAACGAUGCGUAGCCGACCUGAGAGGGUGAUCGGCCACACUGGGACUGAGACACGGCCCAGACUCCUACGGGAGGCAGCAGUAGGGAAUCUUCCGCAAUGGACGAAAGUCUGACGGAGCAACGCCGCGUGAGUGAUGAAGGCUUUCGGGUCGUAAAACUCUGUUGUUAGGGAAGAACAAGUGCUAGUUGAAUAAGCUGGCACCUUGACGGUACCUAACCAGAAAGCCACGGCUAACUACGUGCCAGCCGCCGCGGUAA
rnacentral:rRNA from 1 species